rnacentral:rRNA from 1 species
UACAGAGGUCUCGAGCGUUAGGCGGAAUCACUGGGCUUAAAGCGUGUGUAGGUGGAUCGGUAAGUACCUUGUGAAAUCCCACGGCUUAACCGUGGAACUGCUUGGUAUACUGCCAGUCUUGAGCCAGCUAGGGGCUACCGGAACAAAUGGUGGAGCGGUGAAAUGCGUAGAUAUCAUUUGGAACGCCAAUGGUGAAAACAGGUAGCUGGGGCUGUGCUGACACUGAGACACGAAAGUCAGGGGAGCAAACGGG